CACCAAGUCAUAAGCCUAGUAACUUGUGACUCUAGGAAAAUUUCUCCGUUGUCCUUUUUGUGAAAGGGGAAGAGGUGAGAGUUAAGGUUUUGUUAGUGGGAAAAGCUAUGUGGGUGUCCAUGGGGUGAG